CUACGUAGGUGGCAAGCGUUGUCCGGAAUUAUUGGGCGUAAAGCGCGCGCAGGUGGUUCCUUAAGUCUGAUGUGAAAGCCCCCGGCUCAACCGGGGAGGGUCAUUGGACACUGGGGAACUUGAGUGCAGAAGAGGAUAGUGGAAUUCCAAGUGUAGCGGUGAAAUGCGUAGAGAUUUGGAGGAACACCAGUGGCGAAGGCGACUGUCUGGUCUGUAACUGACACUGAGGCGCGAAAGCGUGGGGAGCAAACAGGAUUAGAUACCCUGGUAGUCCACGCCGUAAACGAUGAGUGCUAAGUGUUGGGGGGUUUCCGCCCCUCAGUGCUGCAGCUAACGCAUUAAGCACUCCGCCUGGGGAGUACGGUCGCAAGACUGAAACUCAAAUGAAUUGACGGGG
rnacentral:rRNA from 1 species